rnacentral:tRNA from 1 species
CGGAACGAGGGUGGUCUCCCAGUCUUCGGGAGGCAGGGGUCGGAGGUUCGAAUCCUCUCACUCCGACCA